CGUUAUGGUGAGCUCUUCAUUUGCCUCCUCAUUUAUAGUCAAAUCUUUUUGGCAGGCUUUAAAAGUCGCAUGAGCUGCUUUUACUUCCCAGACAUUUCCAGCACUCCUUAGAUACACUCUAAAUGCAUUUCCUCGGUGCAGCCUGCAGAGUUGCCUCAUGCACCAAAAUGUCCCCAGAAGACCUGGGAAAACUUUGAUAAUUGCUGUUUUGGUUCAGAAUUUGAACAUUUAUCUGGUAUCAGGGUAACUGAAUAAAAAUGACCUAGGAGGCUGACUAAAAAUAUAGCUUCUGAA